UUGAAAUAAAGCUGAUCUGACUGGGAGGGUUGAUUGUGUGUCUGAUAUGAGAAGGAUAAAGAGCUGACCUCUGAUCUGUGCAGGUUCAGACUGGUUUGUGCUUUGAGCUGUUUGGUUCCUGCAGAGCUGAAGAAGGACGACGGUGGAGCUCAGGAGAGGAGCAGAAAGCUGUUGGACUGCAACAAGUUGAGUGGCUGCAGGUUUUCACCAACAUGGAAAGGAUCCAUCAGAACCCAGGACCAGAACCAGAACCAGGACCUGGACCUGGACCUGCACCCAGCUGUGUGUCCUUUCAGAGCAAUGACUCAAAGGAUCUUUUAAUUCAC